rnacentral:rRNA from 1 species
UACAGAGGGUGCUAGCGUUGUUCGGAAUCAUUGGGCGUAAAGGCGUGUAGGCGGUUUGUUAAGUCAUGUGUGAAAUCCCUCGGCUCAACCGGGGAACGACGCAUGAAACUGGCAAGCUAGAGUACCAAAGAGGGGGGGGUGGAAUUCCCGGUGUAGCGGUGAAAUGCGUAGAGAUGUGGAGGAAUACCGAUGGCGAAGGCAGCCCCUGGGAUAAUACUGACGCUCAUGCACGAAGCGUAGGGAG